GUGCUUCCUUCAGCAGCACAUAAACUUAAAGCGGAACAAUAAAGAGAAGAUCGGCAUGGCCACUGCACAAGGGUGACAGGCAAAUUUGUGAAGAAUUUCAUAUUUUU
ensembl:snRNA U6 U6 spliceosomal RNA